rnacentral:rRNA from 1 species
AUGCGGGUCCCGCCUGUCAUUGACUACGUGUUCAUCUUUAUUUCUUUGGAGCAUUGCAUCGAGCGGCUUGUCCGAGCAUCUCUACCCCAUGCGAGCCGAGAGCUCCAUAGCCAUGGAAGCCGAGCCCCUGCUCAAGCUUGCCCCAGGCUGCCUCAGCCUCUUCCCUACACGUCACCAACCCUCGAAUCCCGCCGCCGCCCCCGCCGGCAUGGACGGCCGAGCCGAGAGCUCCAUGGCCACCAUGGCCACAGUAGCCGAGCCCUGCUCGAGCUAGCCCAGGGCCACAUCACGCUUGCCGUCGGCGUGCUGGCCUGCGGGCAGGGCCAGCAAGGACGCGCAGCUCCCGCGCUGCCUGGGUAG